UGUCCCUCCUCCUGUGUGCGGCGCCGCCGCUGCGCACAGGCCACAUCUCCUCGCCCUCCUCCACAUCUCCGGCCGUCCUCCACAUCUCCUCGCCCUCCUCCACAUCUCCGGCCAAGGCACUCACUUCUCCGGCCGUCCUCCUCAUCCUCCACCCCAUCCACUUCCUGUUCUCCAAGACUGCAGCAUGGUGCUCGGCGGCUGCGGCAACGUAGCUGAUGGAGCGCGAGCCGACCAGUUCAACGGAGGCAGUAGCACGGGGCAGCGGCAGCAGCAUGGAGGGCGUCCGCUUGACUGGGAAGGUGAUGGAACUGCAAAUAGGAGUGGCAGCGGCAACCAUGAUGCAAGUGCAGGUGGUUCCCAAAGCUCCGGGAAAGAGUAUUUGCUUGGUAUGUUGCGUUGGCAAUUUACAUGUCGUAGAUCUGGAGACACAAGUCGAAAAGGAGACACAAGCAAGCGUUGGCAAUUUGGAGACUUGUAGAUCUGGACGACUAGUUAGGAAGAAGGUCAAGGAAGUCAACAGCCUCUACUCAUAGAUUUGCUGGAGCUUGGAGCAUUGAAGCUGGAGCUUUUUCGAUGGAACAAGACCUCCCCGUCCAUGCUUUCAUGGAUUUCUUUUGGAGCUGUUCGUUGUGAUGCUUUGAUGGUUGUCUUUUGCUGUUCGGUGUGAUGCUUUGAUGGCUGUCUUCUGGAGCUGUUUCUAUGUGAAAUCCUUUAAAUCCUAUUGUUGGUUGUACUGAAGUAUCUAAACUUUGGACUGAUGUGAUGGUUGUGGACUGUAAGUUUAGAACGAGUCAAUUGCAAAAAGCUACCACAUUUGCGGCUA